GACAGAGGGUGCGAACGUUGUUCGGAAUUACUGGGCGUAAAGCGCGUGUAGGCGGCUUGGUAAGUCUGCUCUGAAAGCCCGGGGCUCAACCCCGGGAGGCGGGUGGAUACUGUCAAGCUCGAGUCCGGAAGAGGAGUGUGGAAUUCCUGGUGUAGCGGUGAAAUGCGCAGAUAUCAGGAGGAACACCGGUGGCGAAGGCGGAUCUCUGGGCCGUAACUGACGCUGAGGAGCGGAAAGCUGGGGAGCGAACAGG
rnacentral:rRNA from 1 species